ACCAGUAAUUCAACCAAUGACAGUCUGGUCUUUAUUGCUAUUGUUUACAUUCCUCCCAACCAAACAUCCCAGAAACCUCUUUCCAUGAUGGCAUCAGGCUGGAAAGAUAGCAUCACUGGAUCUACAUCAACUCCAGAAACAGAGAAGAGUGGCAUGAUGCCACUGAUGAACUUGCUGCACUUGAAGGCAUGGCGUUCAAUUCCCUGAAACAAAGACACCGAUGCAUUGCUGCAUGUACACCAGGGCAGACUCAGGGGCCUCCCUAAUCCACCAGACACGAGGACAGUGACCGCUUCAAGGAGGGGGCUCUUCCUGUAGAGCACAUGACCGUUGCCAGUCAGUCCCAGGAG